rnacentral:rRNA from 1 species
UACGAAGGGGGCUAGCGUUGCUCGGAAUCACUGGGCGUAAAGCGCACGUGGGCGGACUCUCAAGUCGGUGGUGAAAUCCUGGAGCUCAACUCCAGAACUGCCUUCGAUACUGAGAGUCUCGAGUCCGGGAGAGGUGAGUGGAACUGCGAGUGUAGAGGUGAAAUUCGUAGAUAUUCGCAAGAACACCAGUGGCGAAGGCGGCUCACUGGCCCGGUACUGACGCUGAGGCACGAAAGCGUGGGGAGCAAACGGG